AUACGUAGGGGGCAAGCGUUGCCCGGAAUCACUGGGCGUGAAGGGAGCGUAGGCGGCCUAAAAAGUCUACUGUGAAAAAUCGGAGCUCAACUCUGAUCUUGCGGUAGAAACUAAUAGGCUUGAGGACGGUAGAGGAAAACGGAACAGCUGGUGUAGGGGUAAAAUCCUUAGAUAUCAGCUGGAACGCCGGUGACGAAGGUGGUUUUCUGGGCCGGACCUGACGCUGAGGCUCGAAAGCCAGGGUAGCGAACGGGAUUAGAUACCCCGGUAGUCCUGGCCCUAAACGAUGUUCACUAGGUGUGGGGUACGUAAAGUAUUCCGUGCUAAAGCUAACGCAAUAAGUGAACCGCCUGGGGAGUACGGUCGCAAGACUGAA
rnacentral:rRNA from 1 species